GCAGCUACCUGGCAGGGGAGAGACCAGGAUCAGAAGGUGGUUCUCCCAGGGCGAGGCUUGUCCCUUGCGCUCCAGAUGUGCUGACUCCGGCCAUUUCCCGUGGGAAGCGCGACUGAUCAUUUGUGGCAGUGGGGGACUGCGUUCGCGCUCUCCCCUG